rnacentral:rRNA from 1 species
CCUACGGGAGGCAGCAGUGGGGAAUUUUGGACAAUGGGCGCAAGCCUGAUCCAGCAAUGCCGCGUGCAGGAUGAAGGCCUUCGGGUUGUAAACUGCUUUUGUACGGAACGAAACGGUGAGCUCUAAUACAGUUUGCUAAUGACGGUACCGUAAGAAUAAGCACCGGCUAACUACGUGCCAGCAGCCGCGGUAAUACGUAGGGUGCGAGCGUUAAUCGGAAUUACUGGGCGUAAAGCGUGCGCAGGCGGUGAUGUAAGACAGAUGUGAAAUGCCCGGGCUCAACCUGGGACCUGCAUUGUGACUGCAUCGCUAGAGUACGGUAGAGGGGGAUGGAAUUCCGCGUGUAGCAGUGAAAUGCGUAGAUAUGCGGAGGAACACCGAUGGCGAAGGCAAUCCCCUGGACCUGUACUGACGCUCAUGCACGAAAGCGUGGGGAGCAAACAGGAUUAGAUACCCUGGUAGUCCACGCCCUAAACGAUGUCAACUGGUUGUUGGGUCUUCACUGACUCAGUAACGAAGCUAACGCGUGAAGUUGACCGCCUGGGGAGUACGGCCGCGAAGGUUGAAACUCAAAGGAUUGACGG